rnacentral:snRNA from 1 species
GGAUGUGAUGGUGAUCUGGCUGCAACAUCUGUCACCCCAUUGAUUGCCAGGGUUGAGUCACCUGAUCUGGCUGGCUAGGUGGGUGUCCUCUUCCUCCCUCACCACUCCAUAUGCAUCCCUCCCGAAGCUGUGAGCUCGGUCAAAGAGGAUGACCACCCCUGAUAGAGGAGGACCUUUUCCUCAGUCAAGGGUAUAUGAGUAGCUGUGCUCCCCUGCUAGAAUCGCCAAACAAGCUCUUAAGAUAUGGAGCAAAACUCUCAUCACACUUAUUUAAUAUAAUACUAGAAAUU